rnacentral:rRNA from 1 species
UACGUAGGUGGCGAGCGUUGUCCGGAAUUACUGGGUGUAAAGCGCGCGUAGGCGGGAGGCCAAGUCCGCUGUGAAAUCGCCCGGCUCAACUGGGCGCGGUCGGUGGAAACUGGUCACCUGGAGGACGGUAGAGGCGAGUGGAAUUCCCGGUGUAGUGGUGAAAUGCGUAGUGAUCGGGAGGAACACCAGUGGCGAAGGCGGCUCGCUGGGCCGGCCCUGACGCUGAGGCGCGAAAGCUAGGGGAGCAAACGGG